rnacentral:lncRNA from 1 species
AUUCGUGCCUGCCGGUGGAAAAAUUAGAGCGACAUAUUAGUGCAUUGGCUCGGUGAAAUAAAUGAAGCGCUACUGGAGGCAAAUUAAAAUAUCUCCCUCAGCAAAAAUGAGACUCUCGCUCAUGAUGAAAGCAUGUUAAUAGUUUAUUCUUUGAAACAUCACCGACAUAGUCAUAUUCUAAAGCAUCAUCAACGCCAUCACCAAAUUCAAUGCCAUCAACACCAUCAGCGGCUAGUAACAAUGUAUACCACAGAUUUAUGGCGAAUUACAAGGAGGCAAAAAACAUAUACAUAUGUAGGAAUUGUAAAAUUCCUAAAAUUUUGCAAAGUUUUAAGAAAACUGCAUUUUCUUGCACCACUAUAACUGACUUCCAAUUGUUAAUAUAUAUCAAAAGAAAGCUAAAAGGAUUACCUUUCCUUUGAUUAUAAAACCAUUUAAAUCGCUGGACAUUUUUAUGCAAAUUUCGCAACUUUUGAAAUCAUCUCUAUGUAAG